GACGAACGCUGGCGGCGUGCUUAACACAUGCAAGUCGAACGUAAAGGCCCUGCUUUUGUGGGGUGCUCGAGUGGCGAACGGGUGAGUAACACGUGAGUAACCUGCCCUUGACUUUGGGAUAACUUCAGGAAACUGGGGCUAAUACCGGAUAGGAGCUCCUGCUGCAUGGUGGGGGUUGGAAAGUUUCGGCGGUUGGGGAUGGACUCGCGGCUUAUCAGCUUGUUGGUGGGGUAGUGGCUUACCAAGGCUUUGACGGGUAGCCGGCCUGAGAGGGUGACCGGCCACAUUGGGACUGAGAUACGGCCCAGACUCCUACGGGAGGCAGCAGUGGGGAAUAUUGCACAAUGGGCGGAAGCCUGAUGCAGCAACGCCGCGUGCGGGAUGACGGCCUUCGGGUUGUAAACCGCUUUCGCCUGUGACGAAGCGUGAGUGACGGUAAUGGGUAAAGAAGCACCGGCUAACUACGU
rnacentral:rRNA from 1 species